GGCCCGCACAAGCGGUGGAGUAUGUGGUUUAAUUCGAUGCAACGCGAAGAACCUUACCAGGGUUUGACAUCCUGCGAAUUUCUGGGAAACCGGAAAGUGCCUUCGGGAGCGCAGUGACAGGUGGUGCAUGGCUGUCGUCAGCUCGUGUCGUGAGAUGUUGGGUUAAGUCCCGCAACGAGCGCAACCCACGUCUUUAGUUGCCAGCAUUUAGUUGGGCACUCUAGAGAGACCGCCGGUGAUAAACCGGAGAAGGUGUGGAUGACGUCAAGUCAUCAUGCCCCUUACAUCUGGGCUACACACGUACUACAAUGCUACGGACAAAGGGCAGCAAACUCGCGAGAGCUAGCAAAUCCCAUAAACGUGGCUCAGUUCAGA
rnacentral:rRNA from 1 species